GCUUGCUCCCUGAUGUUAGCGGCGGACGGGUGAGUAACACGUGGGUAACCUGCCUGUAAGACUGGAAUAACUCCGGGAAACCGGGGCUAAUACCGGAUGGUUGUCUGAACCGCAUGGUUCAAACAUAAAAGGUGGCUUCGGCUACCACUUACAGAUGGACCCGCGGCGCAUUAUCUAGUUGGUGAGGUAACGGCUCACCAAGGCGACGAUGCGUACCCGACCUGAGAGGGUGAUCGGCCACACUGGGACUGAGACACGGCCCACACUCCUACGGGAGGCAGCAGUAGGGAAUCUUCCGCAAUGGACAAAAGUCUGACGGAACAACGCCGCGUGAGUGAUGAAGGUUUUCGGAUCUAAAGCUCUGUUGUUAGGGAAAAACAAGUGCCGUUCAAAUAGGGCGGCCCUUGACGGUACCUAACCAGAAAGCCCGGCUAACUACGUGCCAGCAGCCGCGGUAAUACGUAGGUGGCAAGCGUUGUCCGGAAUUAUUGGGCGUAAAGGGCUCGCAGGCGGUUUCUUAUGUCUGAUGUGAAAGCCCCCGGCUCAACCGGGGAGGGUCAUUGGAAACUGGGGAACUUGAGUGCAAAAGAGGAGAGUGGAAUUCCACGUGUACCGGUGAAAUGCGUAAAAAUGUGGAGGAACACCAGUGGCGAAGGCAACUCUCUGGUCUGUAACUGACGCUGAG
rnacentral:rRNA from 1 species